UCAUCUGUCGUGUCCUGAGACUGAGAUACGCGGCUCUCAUCAGGGUCGUCGACACGACGGGAGGUCCUGCUAGCCUUGUCUUGCCUUAGCGGUAUAUCUUGCGUACAGGAAUCCCGGUGAGGCUUUGGUUUUCCCCAGAGUUGAGGUUUUCCUCUAAGGAAUCUGACGAGAUCACGAGAUUCGUGAUAGAGGAUGACUUUGCGGCCUGUGUUCGUUUGUGAUGGACUAGUUGGAGCACCCCUGCAGGGUUUAAUCUUUCGGAAAGCCGUGCCCGCGGUUAUGUGGCAACUUGGAAUAUUUUGUUAACAUCCGGUAUUAGAAAACUUAAACAAAAACUAAUAAAAUAUGCCAACUGUGUGAGUAACCGUGACUGUCCCUUCGAAGAUCUCUCUUCGAUCGGGAACACGGUGGGGUUAUGAAUGCCGUAGGUAGGUGUUCAGGAUCACUUUCUGAUCAAGUAAUCACGAUCGUUAGUAUAGAACACUGUCACUUCUCUUUUGCGUAAGCUAGCCACUUAUUCAACCUUAGGAUGCAGCAGCCUGAAACACUUCACCCCUUCCUUACCCAAUAACAUGACUAGUUCUGGCACCAAGGUCUUAGAUUGCUGAGUCCCCGUGACUCACGGAUUCCUCCGAAACUCCCAGCAGGUACAGGUACCCCAGAGGCAGAUGAUCCCGACGGCACCCAGCUGGCGUGGCAGUACGACGAGGAGACAGAUCGCCUUUACGUGAACUAUCCAG
rnacentral:lncRNA from 1 species